GUGGGGAAUAUUGGACAAUGGGCGCAAGCCUGAUCCAGCCAUGCCGCGUGAGUGAUGAAGGCCUUAGGGUUGUAAAGCUCUUUCGCUGGGGAAGAUAAUGACGGUACCCAGAGAAGAAGCCCCGGCUAACUUCGUGCCAGCAGCCGCGGUAAUACGAAGGGGGCUAGCGUUGUUCGGAAUUACUGGGCGUAAAGCGCACGUAGGCGGACUUGUCAGUCAGAGGUGAAAUCCCGAAGCUUAACUUCGGAACUGCCUUUGAUACUGCAAGUCUUGAGGAUGAGAGAGGUAAGUGGAACUGCGAGUGUAGAGGUGAAAUUCGUAGAUAUUCGCAAGAACACCAGUGGCGAAGGCGGCUUACUGGCUCAUUUCUGACGCUGAGGUGCGAAAGCGUGGGGAGCAAACAGGAUUAGAAACCCCAGUAGUCC
rnacentral:rRNA from 1 species